GACGAACGCUGGCGGCGUGCUUAACACAUGCAAGUCGAACGGAAAGGCCCUGCUUUUGUGGGGUGCUCGAGUGGCGAACGGGUGAGUAACACGUGAGUAACCUGCCCUUGACUUUGGGAUAACUUCAGGAAACUGGGGCUAAUACCGGAUAGGAGCUCCUGCUGCAUGGUGGGGGUUGGAAAGUUUCGGCGGUUGGGGAUGGACUCGCGGCUUAUCAGCUUGUUGGUGGGGUAGUGGCUUACCAAGGCUUUGACGGGUAGCCGGCCUGAGAGGGUGACCGGCGACAUUGGGACUGAGGUACGGCCCAGACUCCUACGGGAGGCAGCAGUGGGGAAUAUUGCACAAUGGGAGGAAGCGUGAGGCAGAAACGCCGCGUGCGGGAUGACGGCCUUCGGGUUGUAAACCGCUUUCGCCUGUGACGAAGCGUGAGUGACGGUAAUGGGUAAAGAAGCACCGGCUAACUACGUG
rnacentral:rRNA from 1 species